rnacentral:rRNA from 1 species
AACACGUGGGGAACCUGCCCCAUAGUCUGGGAUACCACUUGGAAACAGGUGCUAAUACCGGAUAAGAAAGCGGAUCGCAUGAUCAGCUUUUAAAAGGCGGCGUAAGCUGUCGCUAUGGGAUGGCCCCGCGGUGCAUUAGCUAGUGGUAAGGUAAAGGCUUACCAAGGCGAUGAUGCAUAGCCGAGUUGAGAGACUGAUCGGCCACAUUGGGACUGAGACACGGCCCAAACUCCUACGGGAGGCAGCAGC